rnacentral:rRNA from 1 species
GACGAACGCUGGCGGCGUGCCUAAUACAUGCAAGUAGGACGCACAGUUUAUACCGUAGCUUGCUACACCAUAGACUGUGAGUUGCGAACGGGUGAGUAACGCGUAGGUAACCUGCCUGGUAGCGGGGGAUAACUAUUGGAAACGAUAGCUAAUACCGCAUAAUAUUAAUUAUUGCAUGAUAAUUAAUUGAAAGGUGCAAUUGCACCACUACCAGAUGGACCUGCGUUGUAUUAGCUAGUAGGUGAGGUAACGGCUCACCUAGGCGACGAUACAUAGCCGACCUGAGAGGGUGAUCGGCCACACUGGGACUGAGACACGGCCCAGACUCCUACGGGAGGCAGCAGUAGGGAAUCUUCGGCAAUGGACGAAAGUCUGACCGAGCAACGCCGCGUGAGUGAAGAAGGUUUUCGGAUCGUAAAGCUCUGUUGUAAGAGAAGAACGGGUGUGAGAGUGGAAAGUUCACACUGUGACGGUAUCUUACCAGAAAGGGACGGCUAACUACGUG